rnacentral:rRNA from 1 species
CUAUCAGGUAGUAGUGGGUGUAGCGUACCUACUAGCCUACGACGGGUACGGGUUGUGAGAGCAAGAGCCCGGAGAUGGAUUCUGAGACACGAAUCCAGGCCCUACGGGGUGCAGCAGGCGCGAAAACUUUACAAUGCUGGCAACAGCGAUAAGGGAACCUCGAGUGCCAGGUUACAAAUCUGGCUGUCGAGAUGCCUAAAAAGCAUUUCAUAGCAAGGGCCGGGCAAGACCGGUGCCAGCCGCCGCGGUAACACCGGCGGCUCGAGUGGUAACCGUUAUUAUUGGGUCUAAAGGGUCUGUAGCCGGCCGGAUAAGUCUCUUGAGAAAUCUGGCAGCUUAACUGUCAGGCUUUCAGGAGAUACUGUCUGGCUCGAGGCCGGGAGAGGUGAGAGGUACUUCAGGGGUAGGGGUGAAAUCUUGUAAUCCUUGAAGGACCACCAGUGGCGAAGGCGUCUCACCAGAACGGACCUGACGGCAAGGGACGAAAGCUAGGGGCACGAACCGGAUUAGAUACCCGGGUAGUCCUAGCCGUAAACGAUACUCGCUAGGUGUCGGCCACGGUGCGACCGUUGUCGGUGCCGUAGGGAAGCCGUGAAGCGAG